CAUUUGAAAACGUUUACCGACUGAAAAAUAUUUUCUUCAAAAAAAUUUUUGGGUAAAAAAAAGUUGUUUUCAGUUUGUUUGUUGGAAAUCGAUUUAUAAGAACACAAGAGCACCUAAAACACUCAAAUUUGAUACCAAAUGAUAAGGAAUGGGCAAAAAAAUGAUCAUCUUCAAAUUGUUCGACCCAAAAAAAAAUUGGAUCUGACCUGAAAGAAGAAAUAAACAAAUUAUGAAAUUAAUUUAAACAAGAAGUAAUUUUAAACUAAAUUUUCUUGUUUAACUAAGAAACAAGAACUCUUAAACAACUUAAAAUACUUAAGCAAUAUCCAAAAUUCGGAAUAAAUAAAUAAUAAAAUAAUAAAACCUAAUAAAUACAAUAUUGGGCUCAUAUAUAAUAAAAAUUUAGCCUAACAAACGAACCUAAUAUGCUUUAAACUCAAAUUAAAAUCCCGAAACUUGUAAUUGUUGUCAUAAUCCCAUUCAGAAAUUUAUACUCGCGCAAUCUUCACUAAAAAUGUCAUAACUUGAGCUCUCGAACUCAAAAUUGAGUGAUUCAAAGUGCGUUUUGAAGCUAAGAGAUAGCUCUUUAAACAUUAUGCAAGCAUCUAAACCCAUAAAUGUGAGGAUCUCAUCCAUAAAUUUAUUGCAAGUUGACGAAUCUUUUCCUUUUGAAAAUUGGUAGUUUGGUUGAAUUGACUUUAAUAAAUUUCACUCAUUCUGUGAAUGUAUCAUUCCUUGUUUCCUUGAAAAGAUUAAUCCUCUAAUAUUGUCUUUGAUCGACAUUUUUUUAUUUUCUUGGCCUUUGUCAUUGUUGUUGGGCCUUGAGGUAGUGUGGGCUUAUCAUAUCCAUAUGAAUCUGAAAUUAGGUCUUGAGACUCGCAUUAGUAUUGUAAGAUUUCACUAGAAAUAAAAACUUUAAUUGUGCUACAACUAUCAAGACACAUUACUUAAUUAUUUCGUAAUAGUUGUCAAUUUAUUGAGAUUCGAAGUCGUACAUCUUUCUCAAGAAGCAACUAUAAUGGAGUAUUCUCUUACCGCUAAAGUUUGUGGAAACAUGAGUUUGGGUGUGUGUGAUGGGAGAAUCAGCCAACAAUUAAGGGAAGCUGUUUUUUAUACCUUAAUAGCUAAUAUCGCACUCGAGGCAUCCACGAAGAAAGGAAAAGAAAAAGUGGACGAGGAGUAGACACGAGAAUCACAGUUUGUAUUACUAUAAUUCAAAUCUAAUUAUUAUUAAUUAUUGUGUUUUAAUUGAAAUGUAUGGUAAAUAAAUAAGGUAAGAAAUUUGGUAUGAUAAUAUUGUUUUGAAUGGAGUUGAUUUCAAUUGAAUAUAAUUAUUGAAAUUAAGUAUAGUUUAUUCUUUAAAGUUCCCCCUGU